CAUAGGUUAAUGAGGCGAACCGGGGGAACUGAAACAUCUAAGUACCCCGAGGAAAAGAAAUCAACCGAGAUUCCCCCAGUAGCGGCGAGCGAACGGGGAGGAGCCCAGAGCCUGAAUCAGUGUGUGUGUUAGUGGAAGCGUCUGGAAAGGCGCGCGAUACAGGGUGACAGCCCCGUACACAAAAAUGCACAUGCUGUGAGCUCGAUGAGUAGGGCGGGACACGUGGUAUCCUGUCUGAAUAUGGGGGGACCAUCCUCCAAGGCUAAAUACUCCUGACUGACCGAUAGUGAACCAGUACCGUGAGGGAAAGGCGAAAAGAACCCCGGCGAGGGGAGUGAAAAAGAACCUGAAACCGUGUACGUACAAGCAGUGGGAGCCUCUUAAUGGGGUGACUGCGUACCUUUUGUAUAAUGGGUCAGCGACUUAUAUUCUGUAGCAAGGUUAACCGAAUAGGGGAGCCGAAGGGAAACCGAGUCUUAACUGGGCGUUAAGUUGCAGGGUAUAGACCCGAAACCCGGUGAUCUAGCCAUGGGCAGGUUGAAGGUUGGGUAACACUAACUGGAGGACCGAACCGACUAAUGUUGAAAAAUUAGCGGAUGACUUGUGGCUGGGGGUGAAAGGCCAAUCAAACCGGGAGAUAGCUGGUUCUCCCCGAAAGCUAUUUAGGUAGCGCCUCGUGAAUUCAUCUCCGGGGGUAGAGCACUGUUUCGGCAAGGGGGUCAUCCCGACUUACCAACCCGAUGCAAACUGCGAAUACCGGAGAAUGUUAUCACGGGAGACACACGGCGGGUGCUAACGUCCGUCGUGAAGAGGGAAACAACCCAGACCGCCAGCUAAGGUCCCAAAGUCAUGGUUAAGUGGGAAACGAUGUGGGAAGGCCCAGACAGCCAGGAUGUUGGCUUAGAAGCAGCCAUCAUUUAAAGAAAGCGUA
rnacentral:rRNA from 1 species